UACGUAGGGGGCGAACGUUGUCCGGAUUUACUGGGUGUAAAGGGUGCUCAGGCGGUCUUGUAAGUCAGAGGUGAAAUCUCAAGGCUUAACCUUGAAACUGCCUUUGAUACUGCUGGGCUUGAGUACGGAAGAGGCGGAUGGAAUUGCUGGUGUAGCAGUGAAAUGCGUAGAUAUCAGGAGGAACACCGGUGGCGAAGGCGGUCCGCUGGGCCGUUGCUGACGCUAAAGCACGAAAGCGUGGGGAGCAAACAGG
rnacentral:rRNA from 1 species